rnacentral:rRNA from 1 species
UACGUAGGUGGCAAGCGUUGUCCGGAAUUAUUGGGCGUAAAGCGCGCGCAGGCGGUCCUUUAAGUCUGAUGUGAAAGCCCACGGCUCAACCGUGGAGGGUCAUUGGAAACUGGGGGACUUGAGUGCAGGAGAGAAGAGUGGAAUUCCACGUGUAGCGGUGAAAUGCGUAGAGAUGUGGAGGAACACCAGUGGCGAAGGCGACUCUUUGGCCUGUAACUGACGCUGAGACACGAAAGCCAGGGGAGCAAACGGG